rnacentral:miRNA from 1 species
UUUUGAAUGUUGAAUGGUGGCUAU